rnacentral:rRNA from 1 species
GGACGCAAGUCUGAUCCAGCCAUGCCGCGUGAAGGAUUAAGGCCCUCUGGGUUGUAAACUUCUUUUAUAGGGGACGAAAAAAGGGUUUUCUAACUCGUCUGACGGUACCCUAUGAAUAAGCACCGGCUAACUCCGUGCCAGCAGCCGCGGUAAUACGGAGGGUGCAAGCGUUAUCCGGAUUCACUGGGUUUAAAGGGUGCGUAGGCGGGCAGUUAAGUCAGUGGUGAAAUCUUCGAGCUUAACUCGGAAACUGCCAUUGAUACUAUCUGUCUUGAAUACUGUGGAGGUGAGCGGAAUAUGUCAUGUAGCGGUGAAAUGCUNAGAUAUGACAUAGAACACCGAUUGNGAAGGCAGCUCGCUACACAAAUAUUGACGCUGAGGCACGAAAGCGUGGGGAUCAAACAGGAUUAGAUACCCUGGUAGUCCACGCCCUAAACUAUGGAUACUCGACAUUUGCGAUACACAGUAAGUGUCU